AAAUAAGAAAGAAACGCAAGGCCAAUUGAACAAUCUUUCCCGUAUUGUGAAGAUAAUGAAAGUUCAGAGGUGAUAAAGAUGAUGAUGAUGUUAUGUUCUUCUUGGUCACAGGUUGUAGUGAGAGUCGAAGAUUGAUGAGGGUGAAGCGAUGGUGUAUGGAAGCAUAGUGAUGAAGAGAUGGCAAAGAUUGAAGGGAAUGGCUCUGUGAAGUGGUUGCAGAGGUGAAGGUUGAAGUGAUGAUGAAUGAGAGAGGAAGAUGAUGAAUGGAGAUUGUGAAUGGUGUCUAGAAGAAUGAUUGAAGAUGGUGGAUGAGUUAUAUAGGGGUUUCUCAAGGAUUCAAAUAUAUUUGCGUCACGGAUACAGAGUCACUUGGUUGAAUGACCCACCUGGCCUGAGAUCUGAACAUGGAUGAAUAGAAUAUUGCGGCGAUGAAGUUUACUAGUCAUGAGGAAUGGUGAGUUCUGAAGACUUGGAGUUUGGCUUCGUCACGGUCUCGACGGUUAAUGGCUGCAGCGUGAACCUGAUAUGAGUGUUGGUGCUGUUUUGGUUGUUGAUUGUUUGGAAAAUUGAUUUAUGUAGAUAGCAGCAACAUGUGGAUAAUUGAGGCACGGUUGGGUAGCAUUGCCGCGGGAAAACAACCAUAGAAUCGAGGAGUUGAUGUGCUGAAUACUUGGAAGCUUUCCAUUUACGGAGCAUAGCUUGGAAUAGAUAUUAAGAACACUUACACUUAGUAUAAGCUUGCUGUAUAACUUUCCAAGUAGUAUAAUACAUACAUGGGAUGUAUUUGGUGUAAAGAUAUUGAUUUGUAAUGGCACUGUAGUAUCAUCCUUGAACUUGUAAAUUAACAAUUUGAACUUCUUUUUAUUUUUAAAAUCUGAAACUUAUUUUUUUCAAUA